rnacentral:lncRNA from 1 species
AGGGAAUGCUCCUGCGCUUGUUUUCCAGGCUGGCGCACAGGCCGAGGAGCAGAAGCAGCCCCCGUGGAGAGCAGGCGAGGCUGGGAUCUGAGCUGCCCUGGCCACCGGGCUACCUGCAGGCAGAGUUCAUUCUUCAAGCUCGGGAAACAUGGAGGCGGUGUACCUGACUGCCAGGCUCGACUCAGACAGGACUUUCCCAGCACCCAACCUGUUUGUCAGCAGCACUGUCCUCAGAGAAGACACAGCUCAGCACCAGAGCCCUCGGCAAACAUGGGGUGUCCUGAAAAGAGGGGAACAGUAGCUCCCAAGAUGAAACACGGUAAGGGGCGAAAUCCCAUUCCAUUGUGCAGUGGAGCGGUGGAUUGACAAGUGGUGGUCAACUUGUAACCCCCAGCUGAACUGAGUAAGUGUGGCGCUGGGUGUGGGAGGCCCACCUGGGGAUUGUUGCCAGCAACAUAAGAGGCAGAACUAGAGAAGAAGAAAUGAGGCUGUUGGGAACUGGUAGAAGCUGUAAGGAGCUGUUGGUUCUCUUGGAGGAGCUCAUCAUGCUGGCUUUCUUGAUGAACUUGGCUGUUCCAUCCUCCAAGGAGCUCGGGACCUCAUUGGCACUGAAAAUAGCUUUGGUUCAUUUUAGGAGCGCUCUGGUCCUA